rnacentral:rRNA from 1 species
UACAGAGGUCCCGAGCGUCGUUCGGAUUCACUGGGCGUAAAGGGUGCGUAGGUGGCGGGGCAAGUUUGAUGUGAAAGCUCAGGGCUUAACCCUGAAAUGGCAUUGAAUACUGCUUUGCUGGAGGUUUGGAGGGGGGACUGGAAUUCUUGGCGUAGCAGUGAAAUGCGUAGAUAUCAAGAGGAACACCAGCGGCGAAGGCGAGUCCCUGGACAACACCUGACACUGAGGCACGAAAGCUAGGGGAGCAAACAGG